UUGUUAAGUCAGAUGUGAAAUCCCCGGGCUCAACCUGGGAACUGCAUCUGAUACUGGCAAGCUUGAGUCUCGUAGAGGGGGGUAGAAUUCCAGGUGUAGCGGUGAAAUGCGUAGAGAUCUGGAGGAAUACCGGUGGCGAAGGCGGCCCCCUGGACGAAGACUGACGCUCAGGUGCGAAAGCGUGGGGAGCAAACAGGAUUAGAUACCCUGGUAGUCCACGCCGUAAACGAUGUCGACUUGGAGGUUGUGCCCUUGAGGCGUGGCUUCCGGAGCUAACGCGUUAAGUCGACCGCCUGG
rnacentral:rRNA from 1 species